AAGAAAGUAAUUUCAGUAAUAUCCAGGGUUAAUUUGCUGGAGAAUCAAAAAAAUUUAAAUAAGAUAAAAAUUACUAAAGGAAGAGGAGAAGUGAAACUCAAAAGUGAAAAGGGUGGUGGUGUUCACAGUCCAAAUUUCCUAAAUUCACUCCACCCUAUGUUUUUGUUUGAUUAAAUGACAAAAAUUCUAAGUGUACAUAAUAUUGUCAUUUAAUAAAUUAAAACAAAUAAAAUGGGGUGUAUAACGAAAAUUAGGGUGUGACCAAACCCAAAAGGAAAUUACACAAAAACGAAUAGCA
rnacentral:misc_RNA from 1 species